AUGAGUAACAAUAAUUACAACAUUAUGUAAUGGAAUGUUAGAGGCCUUAACGCCCCGGCUAAGCGAACAAUGAUCUGUGAAGUUGCCAUUGCGCACAAGACUACAAUUCUAACCCUACAGGAGACCAAAGUAGAGCUCUGGAUGAUAGAAAUUGCAAAGGAGGUCGGAGGAGUAAGCCUUCAAGGGUGUGUGGUACUGCCAGCCUUGGGGACACGAGGAGGGGCUGCCAUUUUUUGGAACAAGGAUAUUGUGUCGAUCGCAUCACACUCAAUUGGCAGAUUUACGGUCACUGCUAAGGUGUCUGAAUUGGGCAGUAAUAUUCGAUAUUGGCUGACUACGGCCUAUAGGCCAAACUGA
rnacentral:rRNA from 1 species